UAAAAUCUAACUACCGUUAGAUCGAGAAAUGGAUGUCCGAGAUUCGUCCACGUCACCAUGAGUUAAAAUUUAACUAACUCAUGAGUGAAUCUACGAGUUAAAUUUUAACUCAUGGUGACGUGGACGAAUCUCGGACAUCCAUUUCUCGAUCUAACGGUAGUUUCCAAGUUUUC
rnacentral:pre_miRNA from 1 species